GGAUACUGGCUCUAAUAUCAAAAUUAAGCACCAUAAACUUCUAUCAUUUAUUAAAUGAUUGUAUCGCCCUUAGGGACUCAUUGAAAAGAAAUUCAAUCUUCAUUUCAGUAAAAAAAUAAAAAAAAAUAACUUAAAUACUUUAACAAUCAGCGGAAACUGCUAUAACAUAAGGUCAACGCAAUCGCCGAAAUGCCACCGCCUCAU
rnacentral:lncRNA from 1 species